rnacentral:rRNA from 1 species
UACGGAGGGGGCGAGCGUUGUUCGGAUUUACUGGGCGUAAAGCGUGCGUAGGUGGUUUCCCAAGUUAGAUGUGAAAGCCCAGGGCUUAACCCUGGAAUUGCUUUUAAAACUGGGUCACUAGAAUUUAGGAGAGGGAGAUGGAAUUCCGAGUGUAGAGGUGAAAUUCGUAGAUAUUCGGAGGAACACCAAUGGCGAAAGCAGUCGACUGGAGUAACAUUGACACUGAGGCACGAAAGCGUGGGGAGCAAACAGG